GGGGAAUUUUCCGCAAUGGGCGAAAGCCUGACGGAGCAAGACCGCGUGAGGGAGGAAGGCUCUUGGGUUGUAAACCUCUUUUGUCAGGGAAGAACACAAUGACGGUACCUGAAGAAUCAGCAUCGGCUAACUCCGUGCCAGCAGCCGCGGUAAUACGGAGGAUGCAAGCGUUAUCCGGAAUUAUUGGGCGUAAAGCGUCCGCAGGUGGCACUUCAAGUCUGCUGUCAAAGACCGGGGCUUAACCCUGGAAAGGCAGUGGAAACUGAAGCGCUAGAGUGUGGCAGGGGUAGAGGGAAUUCCCGGUGUAGCGGUGAAAUGCGUAGAGAUCGGGAAGAACAUCGGUGGCGAAAGCGCUCUACUGGGCCACAACUGACACUCAGGGACGAAAGCUAGGGGAGCGAAAGGGAUUAGAUACCCCUG
rnacentral:rRNA from 1 species